ensembl:lncRNA
AGGAGUCUCCGCCCCGGAGGCGGAAGCGCGGGAUCCCAGGGAAAAAAAGGUGGUCCCUGGGAGAGGACCUUUGACUGGGCCUGCCUAGGUGGGGUGUGCGUGAUAUGGUGAGAUGAAAGCGACCGACUGCUCAAAUGCUCCGAAGUUGGGGCACAACAUGGAGAGAGUUUCAUGAAGCCUCGGCUGAUCUCAAGUCCCGGCUGGCCUUGAGCUCCUGAUCCUGCUGACUCUAACUACCAAGUUUUGGGAUUCCAGGCAUGUACCACCAUAUCCAGACACAAUUUUUUUUUUAGACAAAAAAAAAAAAAAAAAAAAAAAAAAGAGCUGACUGCCAUUCUGACUUCUAAUAGCACAAGUCAACUUUGCCUGCUGUACUUUAUAUGGAAUCAUAAUCUUUUUGUCUGUUUUAUUGCCAUUAUGUUGAGAAUCAUGGAUGUUGUUUUUUUACUCUUCACAGCUGGAGUGUUCCAAUGUGUGACUAUAUCAUCACUUACCCAUCCCACUCUUGAUAGACAUUUGAUUUGUUUCCUAUUUAAAACAAUUAAAAUAGCACUACUUUUUAAAAUAAAUUUUGAUCAUUUAAAUAAAUAAGAACAUUUAUUUAAAAUAGCAUUCAUGUCUGUUUUGUUAUUGUUUUGUUUUUCAAGACAGAGUGUCUCUGUCCAGCUUUGGUUGACCUGGAACUCAUUCUGUAGACUGUGCUGGCUUCAAAUUCGGAGAUCUGCCUGUCUAUUUCCUGAGUGCUGAGUGUAUACCACCACUGUUCAGCUGUCAUAUUGGGCAUACAAAUACAUACAUAAAACAUACAUUUUAGACAUUGUGCGAAGAGAAGCAAAGUGUGCUAUACCUUUGUAAUCAUCCUUCAUCCAUUAUUUCACAAGUCUCUCUCCAUCUGGGUAACUAUUCUUGGAUCCGAUUUAUUGGUGGUAUACAAUAGGGAUUGCACAUGCUCAGCAAGUCCUCUGUUGUAGUGUAAUUCAUCUUGUGUGCCUGGGCCUUUAAAGGAUCCCCAGUUGCUAAUCACCUGACCUUUCAAGAAUUCUUAGCUGUUAGAACUGCUUGAUCCUAUGAUCUUCAGUGUUGGGUGCCUCUUGGAUUUCUGGGAACAGGAGAAGGAAAAAAAAAGCCAGCUGAGGCUGAGAAAGAGCACUGGACUAGCAGAGGGAGAAGACAAGGCAGUUGAACAUAAAUUGGACUAACAGUGUAAGAAGACAGAAGACAGUUGGUAGCAGCUGAGCCAGGAGAAGCUAAGCUGAGCAGAUAGGCUAGAACAGUUGUUAUAGUUUGGAGUUGCCAGUACUGAGAAAAACCGAGAGAAGGGACUCUACACAUACUGUUGGGGAACUGAGGGAGGAACGGUUGGGAGAAAUCUUUGAAGGGGCUGAGUUAGAAAUUGGGAGGAGGGCUUCUAAGUUCCUGCUCAAAUGGAAGGGUAUCCUGGGACUCCAAAGCCCAGGAACUGCACAACUCUAAUGUGGGACAGUGUCCCAAGGGCAGGGCAUCCUAAGACUUGGGAGCCCAGGGACCACACAGCUCUGAGAGGAAACCUUCUUAGCAGAGACAUUGCAGUUCCCAUGGGAGGGGAUCCCCAGCUGAGCUGAAGAAAUCAGGAACCUCAGUCCUGCUCCUCUUCUUUUUUUUUUUUUUUUUUUUUUUUCUUUUUUUCGGAGCUGGGGACCGAACCCAGGGCCUUGCGCUUCCUAGGCAAGCGCUCUACCACUGAGCUAAAUCCCCAACCCCUCUGCUCCUCUUCUUUAAUUCUUCCCUUGUCUUCAUUGCUUCUUGGCCUAUGAGAGAGUCACACCAGGAAGCAAAUAUCAUGAAAGAGAUUGGAAGUAUAAAUCCAGGAGGAAGGACAAAUCCAGAGGUGGCUUCCGGAAAUGGACCCCAGAGAUUGAACAAAGGGCAGGAUUUCUCAGGGGGUGGAACUUUUCUGGGCAGAUUUCCAGUGUGAAGAUUGGUGGGAUUUCACAUUCUAAACUUGGAGAACUCAAGAUUGGUGGGUUUUCCCAUUGAGGAAUUGGUAGGGUUUUUCCCAUCCCCUUUUCCCUGUAUUGGGCCCAUGAGCUGCUUGGGAGGUUAGUGAGGAGGGGCCACCACUGUGGACAGCUAGCUCCUGCAGUAACCUCUUCCUUUGAUGGUAUUUCAUAAUGGCCACAGGCUGAGGCAGGAAAGAGGGUAUUGCCACAGUUCCUGUGGUAAUAUCUCAUGACGGCAAGUUGAGGAGGUGUUGUGUUGCUGCCAUUUUGAAAACGUGUGGUGGUAUGAUAAGGCAGCCACAGGCUGGGAAGAAGGGCCACAGCUUUGACAGUGCACCACUCAGCAAUUACAAGGCUGGCAGGAAGUUAAGAGAACUAGUUACUGUUUGUAAGAAAAGGAGACAUUAGAGGGAAAAAAAAUUUAUACUCUACCACUGAUAACCCUACAAUCCUAUUUCUUUUUCCAUUUUUUUUUUUUAAAUACAGGUUCUGUGUAGCCUGGGCUGGCAUCAAAUUCAUGAUCUUCCUGUCUCAGAAUCCUGAGUACUGCUGGGUCCUCUCCUUUGUUUUAGAAUUUACGCCUUCCUUUGCAACCUCCUUCCACUUCAGAACCAAAUCUUGGUUUCCCACAAAGCUGAGCUCUGUUAGUGCUGCUACUGAUAUUUGCUACUGAUAUAGUGCUUCCACAGCUUAAGGCUCUAUUGACCUUUCGGUCUUCCCGGUUCUUACAAUAAGCUCAAAUCCCUAAUGCUCCAAAAUCCGGUCUUUGUCUGCCCUACCUCCAUCAUUCUCCUCUGUACUAGACCAAUUAUUCUGUUCUUUCAAUUUGCUACAUCUUUCCUUAAAACCUUUGUGUGCCAUUGUGAUGGUUAAGGAAAUUAUAAUCUGUACCAGGUGCCUCCUUGGUGUCUAUUGGCCUCUGCCCUAAAUUUCUGAAAGAUGAACUAGUAAACUCCACAGAAUGGUGUAACUGCUGUGAGAUGAUCAACAGCUUGCUCCGGCUUCUGUAAACCUGCUUAUCACUGUAUACAGAGGCAUCUCCUUCAUAGCUGUGAACAAGGGGAAAGAGACAGCACCUCACAUAGCUGAGGGGAUUUAAGUAGUUUCCUACACAGCUACAGGUUCCACUCCACAGAAGCAAGAUAAUUGCCAUCUCCAUCUUCAAAAAUCCUUUCCUUAACCUCUUGCUGGUAGCAUGCCUUUGAUUUGGCUUUAAGGCCGUCACCCUACUUGGAGUUUUCAUAAAUCUGGCUAAUUACAACUUGAAUUGAGUUCUUCCCCUUUCCUCACACUCUAUAACUUGGGACUUGUCAGCUCUUGCUCCACCCGUUCUACUCACUCUUCAGAAAUUGGUGUUAUUUCUUCAGAACUCCUUUCCAGAUCUCCAGUGUUCUCUGAGGCACUUACUACAACUAAAAGUCAGUGCUUGAGUGUCUGUCUAUGCAUUAUAUGUCUGGUUUUCAAAGUUUUUAUUUAUUGUUGGGGGCAGGGCAAAGGCCAUGGCAUGGUGUGUGAAGAUCAGAGGACAGCUUUGUGGAGUCUACGCUCUUCAACCUUUGUGGUACCCAGGAUUAAACUCAAGACACUAGGCUUGCGUGGCAUCUGGCUGGCCCAAGUGUCUGAUCUACUGUCAGGCUGAACAGAAAUGUGAAAGGACUGAAUCAGUUUCAUUCAAUGCUGUUUCUUCAGUGUACCACACAGAAGGUGCUCAGUAAAUAUUUGUUCAUUUCCCACAUUUAACAAGUCAGUUGGUUUUGUAGAUUCUGUCUUUAUAAUUUCUAUUUUCCUUAAUAUGAAGUUCAUGAGGGCAGGUAGUUUUUAACCACUUGCCUCCGCAUUCACUAAGUAAAUAUAUCCACUUCAUUUCCAGUUCAGGGGGAUACCACACUCAUGCCCAAUUAUUUUAGAUGAUUGCACAUGAAGCUUAUCAGCAACUGAAAGCUAUCUUAGCCAGAGAGCUGAGAUGCUGAAUGAAGUAGCAACAGAAGGCAUCAUGCCCCACUGACCUUGACUUCUGGGUUCCUCUGGGAGGUGGAGAUGUGGCUUACCAAUCUGCAAUAUUGUCAUGGUUUCUUCCAAAUAAACCCCAUAUGGAAUGUAGCUCAACGACAAAGCCUAGCAGGAUGAGGCCCUGGGC